rnacentral:rRNA from 1 species
CCUAUUCGAAGGGAUAGGGUCGGUUCGGCCGGGUUUCACACAGGUGUUGCAUGGCUGUCGUCAGCUCGUGUCGUGAGAUGUUGGGUUAAGUCCCGCAACGAGCGCAACCCUCAUCCUUAGUUACCAUCAGGUAAUGCUGGGGACUUUAAGGAGACUGCCAGUGAUAAACUGGAGGAAGGUGGGGAUGAUGUCAAGUCAUCAUGGCCCUUAUGGAGUGGGCUACACACGUGCUACAAUGGUGGCUACAAUGGGCUGCAAAGUCGCGAGGCUAAGCCAAUCCCUUAAAAGCCAUCUCAGUUCGGAUUGUACUCUGCAACUCGAGUGCAUGAAGUUGGAAUCGCUAGUAAUCGUGGAUCAGCACGCCACGGUGAAUACGUUCUCGGGUCUUGUACACACUGCCCGUCACGCCAUGGGAAUUGGUUUCACUCGAA